GUUACGGUAGCUUGGAAUGCAAGUGAAUAGUCCUACUGCUCCAGGGCCAAUGCCAACAAAACAAAACAAAUAUUCCCCCCGCUUCUUUCAGUGCAUAGGAUGGACCCGCUUUGAAGAUGAAUCAGCGCUGUGUAGUGAAGGAGAAGAAAUGGUCUUGCAGAGUUUUUCAAAACAGUUUAAAUCCAGAAAUCAAACAAAACACUAAUGAAAAGUUGGACUGGAAAGACUUCAUUUUGGCCUAAAAUGGGACUGAGCUAAUGCCACACUGUGGUAUAUCACACAAAGAAGGUACAUGAGAAGAAAGGGUUUGCUUAGCCCUAUAGAACUUCUGUGUGUCUGUCUCUCUAGGGUUGGUUAUACUCAUCAUUCUGGUAUGCAAGACUUGAGCUGGAACAAUUGAACAAAAAGCAUAUCCUGCUCUGAGAAUCAUAAAAGUCUUGAUGGACUACACAACAUGAGUAAUUCCAGGUUCUUACUGGGAAAAAAAUUAAGAAUACAAGGAGACAUAUUGCAGCAAUUCCUUAAAAAUCUCUCUCACUCCUAAUGAGAAGACAAAUUCCCACACGGCACCCAUUAAAAACUCCACAAGUAGGGAGGGGGGAAAAGGGAUAUUUCUUGCUGUCAGUGCCAUUAAAUAACACCUUGGGAUAACACUUAUGUGACAGCAGGAUACAUUAGUGAGCACACAAGUAUUCUAGGGAUAGCAGAAGAUAAACGUUGAGACACUCGUUAUCUAUACCUGUGAAGCUCUGCAAGUGAAGUAAGCGGAGUCCUCCAAGCAACUGUCAUGCAGUCAAGGCCCCCCCGCUAUCCAUGUUAGCAUUUUACACCCUCUUGUAAAUAACCUUACUGAUGCAAUUGUGGGACUACUACUGAAAAAGCAGCAAAAGCAAGGAGAAGACAGUAAAGCACUAUAUAUGCUUUCUUCAAGCAGUUUAAGAAGCCAGAGGACUUAGAGGAGUAGCUGAGAAGUGGACAACAGCCAGAAGUGAGACUGAAGAUAAGAAGUGGUAUUUCAGCUAAUGUUACUAACCAGCCAAAACAGAACAAUUACGUAGAAAGCUGAAAUGAAAGAGUUGU